CAAGGAGGUUGAGCCCAAGCAGUGUCCAGCUGCAGUAGCCCAGAGUAAAGGAGGAAGCGUUAAUGUAAACCCAUGAGCAAUGAGGAGAAGUCGUCUGUAUGAGAAGUGCAGUACAGACACCAGACACAAAUGGACAACCCAUUACAUUGGCGGGAACAAGCUGGCAUUUUGCAACAGCAAGUCCCCUCUGUAAAUCUUUUGUAAAGGUUCUCUUUAACUCCACAGAAAGGCGAUGGUGCACAGCUUGUACAGAAUCCUUAAGAAUCCUUACUUUCCAACGGACCAGGAAUGCCUGACGACCAAGAGUUGCAAUGAUUUUGAGGCUAAGCUCAUUAAGCAGUUCAUCAAUGAGCUGAAGAGCAAAAAGGCAUUGACGGAGAGCCAGAAUACACCUGUCUCGUCUGUGGAUAACCAUAACAGAGAAGACCAGAGGGGAAAGCUUCAGAGUUAGUCAUUCAAUUUGCCAGAGAUAAGAUUAAUUUUCCUCUGCUACGAUAAUCUUUGCACAAUCACUAGCUGCUAACACUCAACAUUAAUGAGGAGAAUAACGAAGAAGCUUGAUAUCAUUGUGCUCAGCAGAACUGAAGUAUGGAAGAAAUGUUAAUGAAAUGAGGAUAUUAAUUGCUUGAUGUCAAAUACACUUAUUUUCCUCACCA